ACUCAAAGGAAUUGACGGGGGCUCACACAAGCGGUGGAGCAUGUUGCUUAAUUCGAAGCAACGCGAAGAACCUUACCUGGGUUUGACAUGUACGGAUUAGUUUCUGGAAACAGGAAUGACACCCGCAAGGGUGGAACGUGCACAGGUGCUGCAUGGCUGUCGUCAGCUCGUGCUGUGAAGUGUCGGGUUAAGUCCCUUAACGAGCGCAACCCCUGUCGCUAGUUGCCAGCGAGUAAUGUCGGGUACUCUAGCGAGACUGCCGGUGUCAAACCGGAGGAAGGCGGGGAUGACGUCAAGUCCUCAUGGCCCUUACAUCCAGGGUUGCAAACGUGCUACAAUGGUGCAUACAGAGCGACGCGAGGCCGCAAGGCGGAGCAAAUCGCAAAAAGUGCACCCCAGUUCGGAUUGCAGGCUGCAACCCGCCUGCAUGAAGCCGGAAUCGCUAGUAAUCGGGGAUCAGCUACGCCCCGGUGAAUAAGUUCCUGAGCCUUGCACACACCGCCCGU
rnacentral:rRNA from 1 species